UACGGGGGGGGCAAGCGUUGUUCGGAAUUACUGGGCGUAAAGGGUUCGUAGGUGGCCAACUAAGUCAGACGUGAAAUCCCUCAGCUUAACUGGGGAACGUGCGUCUGAGACUGGAUGGCUUGAGUGCAGGAGAGGAACGCGGAAUUCCAGGUGUAGCGGUGAAAUGCGUAGAUAUCUGGAGGAACACCGGUGGCGAAGGCGGCGUUCUGGACUGCUACUGACACUGAGGAACGAAAGCCAGGGGAGCAAACGGG
rnacentral:rRNA from 1 species